UUUCAUUUCUUAAAACUGUCAAAGCUGAAUUUUGCAACAUGAGUACCCCGAAAGUAACUGAAGAGAAAAAGGAGCAAGGUGGAGUGGAAAUCAAGGUGGUGGACACGGUUGAUUAUCGAUCACCGGCGGGGGAAGACAAAAAACCCACAAAGGAGGAGGUGGAGGUGGUUCAUGAGACUAAAGAUGGGGCCAAUUCAGGGACUGGAGGCGGUGUCCUUGCUAGUGCAGCAGCUGCAGUUUCAAAUGCCUUUCAGUCCGCCAAGGAUGCAGUUUCUGGCAGUGCCAAAGAUCAGAAGACCACUAAAUGACUGAGACCAUCUGAUCAUAUCAUUAUCUUAAUGUAACAUGUUCUUCUUGGAUUGGAAUUUGGAUGGAGAAUAAAGACUGUUUUGAUUUGAAUGUUU